CUACGGGGUGCUGCAGUGAGGAAUAUUGCACAAUGGGGGGAACCCUGAUGCAGCAACGCCGCGUGGAGGAUGACGCAUUUCGGUGUGUAAACUCCUUUUAUAUGUCAAGAAAAUGACGGUAGCAUAUGAAUAAGCACCGGCUAACCCCGUGCCAGCAGCCGCGGGUAAUACGGAGGGUGCAAGCGUUACUCGGAAUCACUGGGCGUAAAGGACGCGUAGGCGGGUUGGAAAGUCAGGUGUGAAAUCCUACAGCUUAACUGUAGAACUGCACUUGAAACUUCUAAUCUAGAGUAUGGGAGGGGGGGAGGGAAGUAGUGGUGUAGGGGUAAAAUCCGGAGAUAUCACUAGGAAUACCUAAAGCGAAGGCGAUCUCCUGGAACAUUACUGACGCUAAGGCGUGAAAGCGUGGGGAGCAAACAGGAUUAGAUACCCCAGUAGUC
rnacentral:rRNA from 1 species